rnacentral:rRNA from 1 species
UACGUAGGUGGCAAGCGUUGUUCGGAAUUACUGGGCGUAAAGGGCUCGUAGGCGGCCAACUAAGUCAGACGUGAAAUCCCUAGGCUCAACCUAGGAACUGCGUCUGAUACUGGAUGGCUUGAAUCCGGGAGAGGGAUGCAGAAUUCCAGGUGUAGCGGUGAAAUGCGUAGAUAUCUGGAGGAAUACCGGUGGCGAAGGCGGCAUCCUGGACCGGCAUUGACGCUGAGGAGCGAAAGCCAGGGGAGCAAAGCGGGG